GACGAACGCUGGCGGCGUGCUUAACACAUGCAAGUCGAACGGUGAAGGUGGGAGCUUGCUCCUGCUGGAUCAGUGGCGAACGGGUGAGUAACACGUGAGUAACCUGCCCUUGACUCUGGGAUAAGCGUUGGAAACGACGUCUAAUACCGGAUACGAGCUUCAGCCGCAUGGCUAGGAGUUGGAAAGAUUUUUCGGUCAAGGAUGGACUCGCGGCCUAUCAGCUUGUUGGUGAGGUAAUGGCUCACCAAGGCGACGACGGGUAGCCGGCCUGAGAGGGUGACCGGCCACACUGGGACUGAGACACGGCCCAGACUCCUACGGGAGGCAGCAGUGGGGAAUAUUGCACAAUGGGCGCAAGCCUGAUGCAGCAACGCCGCGGGAGGGACGACGGCCUUCGGGUUGUAAACCUCUUUUAGCAGGGAAGAAGCGCAAGUGACGGUACCUGCAGAAAAAGCACCGGCUAACUACGUGCCAGCAGCCGCCGUAA
rnacentral:rRNA from 1 species